UUUCUGUCAAGUUCCUCUCAUAGUCUCAUUCAUCCGUUUCUCUUCCUCUCACUUAUAAAACUUUUUUCAGAUGUGAAAGGAAACAAGGAUCUCCUAGCCUCACGAACCUGUUGAAAAUUUUCUGGAAAGGUAUCCGGACAUCCCGGAGGGAACCCGACUAGUGCCUAAGUACACCUCCGCAGAAGACAUCCUGGAGAGCCGUCUUUUCACCCCAAUUUAAUCGACGGUGGCCAGUGGAAAUCGAAGGAACCGUUCUGGGAAAUGCGGCUGAAGGAGAAUGCUUCGAUGAAUCUCCUAACUUACUAAAUCGACUCAGUUUUUACAUCAGCAAUAAG